AUUGAACGCUGGCGGCAGGCCUAACACAUGCCAGUCGAGCGGAUGACGGGAGCUUGCUCCUGGAUUCAGCGUCGGACGGGUGAGUAAUGCCUAGGAAUCUGCCUGGUAGUGGGGGAUAACGUCCGGAAACGGGCGCUAAUACCGCAUACGUCCUGAGGGAGAAAGUGGGGGAUCUUCGUACCUCACGCUAUCAGAUGAGCCUAGGUCGGAUUAGCUAGUUGGUGGGGUAAAGGCCUACCAAGGCGACGAUCCGUAACGGGUCUGAGAGGAUGAUCCGUCAAACUGGAACUGAGACACGGCCCAGACUCUUACGGGAGGCAGCAGUGGGGAAUAUUGGACAAUGGGCGAAAGCCUGCUCCAGACAUGCCGCGGGGUUGAAGAAGGUCUUCGGAUUGUAAAGCAUGUUAAGUUGGGAGGAAGGGCAGUAAGUUAAUACCGUGCUGUUUUGACGUUACCAACAGAAUAAGCAACGGCUAACUUCGUG
rnacentral:rRNA from 1 species